GGGCUCAGUUGGAAGAGCAAAGUUUUUUCGACCGCCAAGCGUCUCAAAACCGUCCAAAAUCGGCGAGACUGUAAAUCUUGAGGUCGCUGGUUCGAUCCCGGCUCG
rnacentral:tRNA from 1 species